AUACGUAGGUGGCGAGCGUUGUCCGGAUUUACUGGGUGUAAAGGGCGCGUAGGCGGGUGUGCAAGUCAGAUGUGAAAUACCGGGGCUCAACUCCGGGGCUGCAUUUGAAACUGCACAUCUUGAGUAUCGGAGGGGCAGGCGGAAUUCCUAGUGUAGCGGUGAAAUGCGUAGAUAUUAGGAGGAACACCAGUGGCGAAGGCGGCCUGCUGGACGACAACUGACGCUGAGGCGCGAAAGCGUGGGGAGCAAACAGGAUUAGAUACCCUGGUAGUCCACGCUGUAAACGAUGAAUACUAGGUGUGGGGGGACUGACCCCCUCCGUGCCGCAGUUAACACAAUAAGUAUUCCACCUGGGGAGUACGGCCGCAAGGUUGAAACUCAAAUGAAUUGGCGGGG
rnacentral:rRNA from 1 species